UUCGAUGCAACGCGUAAAACCUUACCUACCCUUGACAUGUCCGGAAUCCCGAAGAGAUUUAGGAGUGCUCGCAAGAGAACCGGAACACAGGUGCUGCAUGGCUGUCGUCAGCUCGUGUCGUGAGAUGUUGGGUUAAGUCCCGCAACGAGCGCAACCCUUGUCAUUAGUUGCCAUCAUUUGGUUGGGCACUCUAAUGAGACUGCCGGUGACAAACCGGAGGAAGGUGGGGAUGACGUCAAGUCCUCAUGGCCCUUAUGGGUAGGGCUUCACACGUCAUACAAUGGUCGGUACAGAGGGUUGCCAACCCGCGAGGGGGAGCUAAUCCCACAAAGCCGAUCGUAGUCCGGAUCGCAGUCUGCAACUCGACUGCGUGAAGUCGGAAUCGCUAGUAAUCGUGGAUCAGCAUGUCACGGUGAAUACGUUCCCGGGUCUU
rnacentral:rRNA from 1 species